CUUCUGUGAUGAACACAAUUAUUCAGUUCUGCUACCGAGUGCUCGUGAGCGACAACCCAAUAUACCAAAAACAUUUAUCUGAACU
rnacentral:snoRNA from 21 species